ACAGCGGCGGACGGGUGAGUAACGCGUAAAUAACCUACCAUGUACACAAGGAUAGCCAUCGGAAACGGUGAAUAAUACUUGAUGAGGCUACAGUUUCGCAUGAAACAGUAGUUAAAGAAUUUUGGUGUAUGAUGGAUUUGCGUUUGAUUAGCUAGUUGGUAAGGUAAUGGCUUACCAAGGCGAUGAUCAAUAGCCGGCCUGAGAGGGUGAACGGCCACACUGGAACUGAGACACGGUCCAGACUCCUACGGGAGGCAGCAGUGGGGAAUAUUGCACAAUGGGCGGAAGCCUGAUGCAGCAACGCCGCGUGAACGAAGAAGGCUUUCGAGUCGUAAACUUCUGUUAUAGGGGAAGAAGAAGUGACGGUACCCUAUAAGAAAGCCCCGGCUAAUUGCGUGCCAGCAGCCGCGGUAAUACG
rnacentral:rRNA from 1 species